GGGCACUAGUCACUCUAAGAUUUGCUCUUAUCACUGCCGGAAAGGGUUGCUCUGCUUGAUCAGGGGAAAAAAAGUGAGUAACACGUGAGUAACCUGCCCCUGACUCUGGGAUAAGCCUUGGAAACGAGGUCUAAUACUGGAUACGAGACGCACAGGCAUCUGUAGUGUCUGGAAAGAAUUUCGGUCAGGGAUGGACUCGCGGCCUAUCAGCUUGUUGGUGGGGUAAAGGCCCACCAAGGCGACGACGGGUAGCCGGCCUGAGAGGGCGACCGGCCACACUGGGACUGAGACACGGCCCAGACUCCUACGGGAGGCAGCAGUGGGGAAUAUUGCACAAUGGGCGAAAGCCUGAUGCAGCGACGCCGCGUGAGGGAUGAAGGCCUUCGGGUUGUAAACCUCUUUCAGCAGGGAAGAAGCGAAAGUGACGGUACCUGCAGAAGAAGCGCCGGCUAACUACGUGCCAGCAGCCGCGGUAAUACGUAGGGCGCAAGCGUUGUCCGGAAUUAUUGGGCGUAAAGAGCUCGUAGGCGGUUUGUCGCGUCUGCUGUGAAAACUCGAGGCUCAACCUCGGGCUUGCAGUGGGUACGGGCAGACUAGAGUGCGGUAGGGGAGACUGGAAUUCCUGGUGUAGCGGUGGAAUGCGC
rnacentral:rRNA from 1 species